ACCUGCGGAAGGAUCAUUAAUGAAACUUCAAAGUCGGCCAAAGGUUGUUGCUGGUGAUUAUUCACAUGUGCACACCUUUGGUCGCAAAUCCACACACACCUGUGCAUCUAYGACUCGAGGUUGUAAUGACUGAGAGUAACUUUUAUACACUCUUGUAUGUAAUGGAAUGUCUUUUUGUGCUAUAAUGUACAAUAUAAACAACUUUCAACAACGGAUCUCUUGGCUCUCGCAUCGAUGAAGAACGCAGCGAAAUGCGAUAAGUAAUGUGAAUUGCAGAAUUCAGUGAAUCAUCGAAUCUUUGAACGCACCUUGCACCCUUUGGUAUUCCGAAGGGUACGCCCGUUUGAGUGUCAUUGUAAUCUCACUUCUACAACUUUAUUGUUGUUUGAAUGUGGACUUGGAUGUUGCCGUUUUAUCACGGCUCGUCUUAAAUGCCUGAGUGUACCCUGUUUUGCAGCGUAUCCAGUGUAAUAAACAUUUCACUAGAGUUGGUYGAAAGACCRCGUUGACUAUAUGGGCUCUAUGCUUCAAACCGUCUGCCAUGUGGACAAUUUCUUGACAAUUUGACCUCAAAUCGGGUGGGACUACCCGCUGAACUUAAGCAUAUCAAUAAGCGGAGGAAAAGAAACUAACAAGGAUUCCCCUAGUAACGGCGAGUGAAGAGGGAAAAGCUCAAAUUUUAAAUCUGGUGUCUUUGACUCCCGAGUUGUAAUCUAGAGAAGUGUUUUCCGUGUCGGACCGUGUACAAGUUCCCUGGAACGGGGCGUCAUAGAGGGUGAGAAUCCCGUAUAUGCCACGGACUACCGAUGCUCUGUGAUACACUCUCAACGAGUCGAGUUGUUUGGGAAUGCAGCUCAAAAUGGGUGGUAAAUUCCAUCUAAAGCUAAAUAUUGGCGAGAGACCGAUAGCGAACAAGUACCGUGAGGGAAAGAUGAAAAGCACUUUGGAAAGAGAGUGAAACAGUACGUGAAAUUGUUGAAAGGGAAGCGUUUGAA
rnacentral:rRNA from 1 species